rnacentral:ncRNA from 1 species
CCUCAAGAUAAGAUCUCCACAGAGGGUCGUCGAAGACUACGACGUUGAUAGGCCGCAGGUGUAAAUGCAGCAAUGUAAAAGCCGAGCGGUACUAAUUGCCCGAACACUUUCCGCG